UGGGGAAUAUUGGACAAUGGGCGCAAGCCUGAUCCAGCCAUGCCGCGUGAGUGAUGAUGGCCUUAGGGUUGUAAAGCUCUUUUGUCCGGGAAGAUAAUGACUGUACCGGAAGAAUAAGCCCCGGCUAACUUCGUGCCAGCAGCCGCGGUAAUACGAAGGGGGCUAGCGUUGCUCGGAAUCACUGGGCGUAAAGGGCGCGUAGGCGGACUUUUAAGUCGGGGGUGAAAGCCCAGGGCUCAACCCUGGAAUUGCCUUCGAUACUGGGAGUCUUGAGUUCGGAAGAGGUUGGUGGAACUGCGAGUGUAGAGGUGAAAUUCGUAGAUAUUCGCAAGAACACCGGUGGCGAAGGCGGCCAACUGGUCCGAAACUGACGCUGAGGCGCGAAAGCGUGGGGAGCAAACAGG
rnacentral:rRNA from 1 species